GACGCGGCGUGCGCGCACUACGCAAGCGCAAAGUUCGUCUUCUCGGGGGACGUGCUGGCUGGGAAUGUGAGUUGCUUUCCGUCCCUGAGCGCCGCGGCCGGGGAGUUUACAUUUUCUCUUUAACCUCUUAUCGUAUCUUCUUGAUAACCUUGUGUUUUACGGUGGGACCCGGGGGAUCCAAGUAUCCUCAUUUAAGGCCAGCUCCUCGCAAGCUCGUCCCGUGCCCGCUUCACCCGCUUGGUCGUGUCUCCUGUAAUGAUGCCCUUUCUCCGCACAACUGUGAGCCACCCAGGCUUCCUUGUAAUGAUGCCCUUUCUCAUUCCUAACGGCCUACACGUGUGCUGGCAUCCCUGCGACAGAGACACAAAACAUCGCCGCACACCUCCUUCCAACAGCCGUCACGUUUCUCUUGCCCUUUUUUUAGGUAAACUGUUGGAGAAGGCGUUUUCCUGCCACACGGGCGGGCCCUCAACUCUCUUGACCUCCUCCAAUCAGUCAUUCCUCCCCAUCUACACCGCUGGAAGCACUCUUGCUGAGGCACAUAUGGGGAACUCACACAUUUGUUAAGUGAACCUGGGAAGAAGGGCUUUUUUUCUGAGGGAGGCAGUUUUGGCAGCCCAGGAGAUGGUUCGGAAGGUUAGUGGGGUGUAGCCUUUCUCCUAAGUUCAGGGGUGGCACACCUUUAACAAUUCAUUUGGCUUAGUAAAUGUUCAGUAAACAUUAACAGAUCCCAUUAUUCAGACUGUCCUAUUAACAGGAAUAUCCUAUUAAGAGAACACUCGUUUUCACUCUCCCCCCUCCCCACUGGCAGGGUACCCUGGCAGAACAAAGACCUAGCCUGGGUCAUUUUAACAACAAAUAUUUUCAAGCACUUAUUCUGUGUGGCUCAACCUAAUACCACAUUUCAGGCUGUGCUGUGUGCUUUACAUGUAUUAUCUCGUCCUCAAAACAACCUUAUGGGCUAGAUCAUACUAUUCUCCAUACCGUCCGAGGAGGAAGCAAGCAUAGAUUGAAUAACUGCACAAAGGUAGUUUGAGGUGGAGUUGAGAUUUGAAACUAGGUAAUUUGACACCACAGCCUGAGUUCUUUCAAACUACUUUACAUGCCUCCCAGAGUUUUAAGACCUAACCUAUAGAAAGGUAUCAGGGCUUGCAGGGAUCCUGAAAGUCCUUUGCUACAUGCCUCCCUUCACACAGGGUUACGUGAAGCCAUCAGGGAUGGAUAGGUUAAUUACGACUGUCCUUAAAGGUUUCCAUCAGCUCAUCUUCCUUGGGUCAUUCAUCUCAACAGAGUUGGAAGUUUUUGUCUAGAUACAACCUGAAACCCGUUAGAUUCACUAAAGAUCUUAAUCCUGGUGACUCAUGUCCAGAGUAUGUCUUUUCCAUUGAUAGCCACCAUUUUCCCGAGUCCAUUCAUUCCCAUACCCUUUAUCUUUCACAGAAAUGGUAAUGUCACUGUAGUCCCUGAUAGUGAUUUCACGUAGAACCAAGAAAGUUAUGGUGCCCGUAUUUUCUGGAGCAGAAUAGUUGACGCGUGGCGUAGAGUGACUAUAGAAAAAUCUAAGACAGGAGUCCUCCAACAAAUGUGUACGGAGCACCACUGUGGUCCAGGUCUCUGGCAGGUUUGGGGGAUACAAAGUCUUACAAGAAAUGGCUCCUGGCCUUGCAGUUCUCAUGCUUUCCCUAAUACAAGUUCUCUGAACAGCGUUUAUGACUCAAUAUUUCAAACUGGGUAGCUGCGGCCCAUGGGAAUUUAGAAAUGGGAAAUUUACUUGAACUGAAAAUGCUGUUCUUCGGAAGAACUCCUUAGGCAUGCUCUCUCUAGAGGACUCUCUAUAUAGUACUUGGCAGCUCCACGUAGAGGUCUCUCCUUCCCAUUAUUGUACGCCUCUUUAAUAGGUCCUGUGGCUUCUAGUUUUCUCUUUACCCGUUUGACACUGGUUAUGUUUUAUUUUUUAUUUUUUAAGUAGGCUUCACGCCCAAUGUGGGGCUGGAGCUCAUGACCCUGAGAUCAAGAGGCGGAUGCUCUACCGACUUAGCCAGCCAUGCGCCCUGGUCUGUUUUAAACACUACUCAGAUUCUACUUCUGUUUUAGAACUUCACAUGGUUCCCUGUUGUUCUCAGUGUCAGGUUCAAACUCCUUGCUGUUGAAUUGUGAGGCAGGCCACGGUCUGCCCCACACUCUACUUUUUAGCCUCCUUUUAGUUGCUAUUAUUCCUUUUGUUCUCCAGUGACCACUCAGCCAGAUGUGCUGAACUGUGAGGUCCGACCGUGUGUAACUGCCGUUUUACAUAUCAAAAAUGGUCUAAGACUUGCAAUUCAGUACAGUUCAAGUUCACACUUGCCAUUCCUGCAUGAUACGUACUUUCAGACCGCUUUUCCGCAGAAUGUCUCCACUUGCUUCAUCUGAUAAGCUCCCACUUAUCCUUUAAAACCCAUGGCGGAUGUCCCCUCUCCAUGAGGCUUUCCUGGCUCACCCGGUGGAAUUAGUGCCCCCAGCAGAGGCUCACACCCUGGAUGUGAUUCUUCUCCCCACUUAGCUUGGCGGGAGUUACCAGUCCACUCCUACACGAUGCUGGCCCCGCCUUGUCUGGCCCGUGAACAUCCCAAGGAAGGGGACCAUGUCACGAAGAUCCCACAUCCUGCAUAGUCCAUAGUGCCACGUGCAUAAUGCUGACUAUUGGAGGACUACCCGCUUCCUUUAUGAAC